rnacentral:rRNA from 1 species
AUACGUAUGGUGCAAACGUUGUUCGGAAUCACUGGGCUUAAAGCGCGCGUAGGCGGCCUGCCAAGUUGGGGGUGAAAGCCCGGGGCUCAACCCCGGAACUGCCCUCAAAACUGGCAAGCUAGAGACCGGGAGAGGUGAGUGGAAUUCCCAGUGUAGAGGUGAAAUUCGUAGAUAUUGGGAAGAACACCAGCGGCGAAGGCGGCUCACUGGUCCGGCACUGACGCUGAGACGCGAAAGCGUGGGGAGCAAACAGGAUUAGAAACCCCAGUAGUCC